rnacentral:rRNA from 1 species
GCAAGUCGAGCGCACCUUCGGGUGAGCGGCGGACGGGUUAGUAACGCGUGGGAAUAUACCCUUCUCUAAGGAAUAGCCUCGGGAAACUGAGAGUAAUACCUUAUACGCCCUUAGGGGGAAAGAUUUAUCGGUUAAGGAUUGGCCCGCGUUAGAUUAGAUAGUUGGUGGGGUAAUGGCCUACCAAGUCUACGAUCUAUAGCUGGUUUGAGAGGAUGAUC